rnacentral:rRNA from 1 species
ACUCCUACGGGAGGCAGCAGUGGGGAAUAUUGGACAAUGGGGGCAACCCUGAUCCAGCCAUGCCGCGUGAGUGAUGAAGGCCUUAGGGUUGUAAAGCUCUUUCAGCGAGGAGGAUAAUGACGUUACUCGCAGAAGAAGCCCCGGCUAACUUCGUGCCAGCAGCCGCGGUAAUACGAAGGGGCUAGCGUUGUUCGGAAUCACUGGGCGUAAAGCGCACGUAGGCGGAUUGAUAAGUUAGGGUGAAAUCCCGGGGCUCAACCUCGGAACUGCCUUUGAUACUGUCAGUCUUGAGUCCGAGAGAGGUGAGUGGAACUCCGAGUGUAGAGGUGAAAUUCGUAGAUAUUCGGAAGAACACCAGUGGCGAAGGCGGCUCACUGGCUCGGUACUGACGCUGAGGUGCGAAAGGCUGGGGAGCAAACAGGAUUAGAUACCCGUGGUAGGACAGUG